rnacentral:rRNA from 1 species
AUUGAGGCCCCGUAAUCGGAAUGAGUACACUUUAAAUCCUUUAACAAGGAUCCAUUGGAGGGCAAGUCUGGUGCCAGCAGCCGCGGUAAUUCCAGCUCCAAUAGCGUAUAUUAAAGUUGUUGCGGUUAAAAAGCUCGUAGUUGGUUCUGCGUGCCGCGCUGUCGGUUUGCCGCCUGUCGGUGUAACUGGCAUGUCGCGGCAUGUCCUGUCGGUGGUGAACGAGAUACCCGGUGCUGGCUAAGGUUUUUACAGCCGAAGUUAUGUGCCGUGUGUGUUCUCGUUUGCCGAAUUAUCCUACUCCGGUGCUCUUAAACGAGUGUCGAGGUAGGCCGACACGUUCACUUUGAACAAAUUAGAGUGCUUAAAGCAGGCUGAAAAUACUGCCUGAAUAGUGGYGCAUGGAAUGAUAAAAUAGGACCUCGGUUCUAUUUUGUUGGUUUUAGGAAUAUGAGGUAAUGAUCAAUGUGGACUGGCGGGGGCAUUCGUAUUGCGACGUUAGAGGUGAAAUUCUUGGAUCGUCGCAAGACGCACUAGAGCGAAAGCAUUUGCCAAGUAUGUCUUAAUUGAUCAAGAACGAAAGUUAGAGGUUCGAAGGCGAUCAGAUACCGCCCUAGUUCUAACCAUAAACGAUGCCAGCCAGCGAUCCGCCGAUGUUCCUUUAAUGACUCGGCGGGGAGCUUCUACUCGGGAAACCAAAGCUUUUGGGUUCCGGGGGAAGUAUGGUUGCAAAGCUGAAACUUAAAGGAAUUGACGGAAGGGCACCACCAGGAGUGGAGCCUGCGGCUUAAUUUGACUCAACACGGGAAACCUCACCAGGCC